AAGCAAUCUCAUUAAAGUAAACCAACAAUAUUAUCCAGCGGAAGACUUAACCAAAAAUCCAAUAAUACGAUUCCAUUAAACCAACAAGUUCAACCAAACAUUAUUCCAAAACAUGAUCCUCCUAACAUGUUUCUAAAUUCCAUUCUAACACCCUAACAAAUCCAACAAUAAUCUAAAACACCAAUGAGUGCCUAGAUCAUCCUCCUCUCCUCGCCAUGAUUCCACGGAUCACACUUUGCUUUUACCUGCAUCAAAGAAAGAGAUGCAUAAGUAUUUCAUAAAUACUUAGUGAGGGCGAUCCUCCCAUCUACGAGCUAUACACACAAGCAAUGAGAUAACACCCACAUAUAUAACAAAAACAAACCAUCCAGCAAGCUAAACAUCCAAUAACACAUCCAGUUCACCUACAAAUCAUCACACAACAAGUCACUCAAUCCCAAUCGCUUAGAUAAGCUCAUGGUCACGCACUCACCUUAACAAGGUGAUUUGAGUUACAAAAACAACCAGGAAAUACUCUCUUCGUGACUGCAACAGCCAAACAACGCCCUACAACAAACCACACAAACACAAAUCUCUAAGAACCAAAAGGACAGAAACAUCAAAAAAACUACAGCCGCAGAAACGAAGCCCUAAAACAUAAACUAACCGUUAACUUCUUAAUCCCUACGGUGAAAAGCAAGAUACAGACGUCACGAAGCCCCCUACAAAAUUUGGUGCCGAUCGGAGAAACGAUGAAUCCACGAUCGCACUUACAAACUCCGCUGAUCCCAGUUCGCAACAGAGAAAACGCGUCUCACCAAACUGCAUAUAACUCACUGAGUAUUAAUCCAAAUUCACUUCUGUAAAAAGGAGAAUCAACGUACACGCCUUAAGAACAAACCUACCAAAAUUCAUUACCNNNNNNNNNNNNNNNNNNNNNNNNNNNNNNNNNNNNNNNNNNNNNNNNNNNNNNNNNNNNNNNNNNNNNNNNNNNNNNNNNNNNNNNNNNNNNNNNNNNNUUCGAUAAGAUUUGAUACGUCGUAACUCUAUUCUACCAGAACGUGACGGAUCUGCUUCUCUUGCCUUAAACACCAAAGCAAAGCUAACACUCUCCUUUUCACAAGUAAACUUCUCAUUUUCCUUUUCUCAACUCAACUCUCAGAAACAACAGCCACAAAACAAGAGAGAGAAGAAGCAUUCUUUAUAAAACUAGGGUUUUUGGUUUAAUUCUGAUUAAACCAGAAUUUACCUAAACCGACUUUAAUUAAACCUCUUUUGGUUCAAUUAAACAAAUCGACCAGUUUAGGAAAUCAACCGGAAUUAAACCGAUUCCACCCUAAUUCUUAUACACAUUCAAGUCUCAUAUUAAUUUUCAGAACACGGGCGUUACAAUUCUCCCCCACUAACAUGGAUUCGUCCUCGAAUCCUUCAACACCGUCCACCAGUUGGACUCCGUGCAACCGUCCCAAACGAUCUGCACUCCCACAACUGACUCCUCUGAGGCUCCUAUCUAAUCCAUAUACUCACGUUCCAGACCCUAUUUGCUCAUACUCACCCACUUCCCCCGUCCACAGGUCGCAACCCAUGAAUCAUACCGGCUCGUCCUCAGGCCUCUGCCUUAGACUACGGUAUCCAGGAAGUCUCACCACUCCCCCCGCUAUCAGGUCGCAACCCUCAAGUCAUACCGGCUCACUAUUAGGCCACCCGCCUUCUAGCUACGGUAUCCGGGAAGUCUCACGCUCGCUCUCGGGUCGUCACCCUCAAAUGUGCACUCGAAUCGUCAUCCGAAGCCAUCACAUCAUAUCCGAGCAAAUAAGUCUAAACGCCCCCGAGCAUAUCUCUCGAUUAGAUAUACCUCCCGUGGUCCACUUAUAGCAUCGCAAUGCUAUACUAACCACCACCCCGAGACUUUCCAAAAAUAGAACCGUCAAACCCGACACUUUCUAUUUUUAGAAACUCGCACAUAUUUCUCUUACACAUGACACAACAAGUCAAAUCAAGAAAUACUCACAUAGUCCAAGUACAACAUCACAAUGUCAUACCUACCAAACAAUAUUCCCACCUGGAAUAUCAUCUCUACCAUGACCAUUCUUCAAGUCAACUCCCAAACAAUCCCGUCACUCAGAGUAUUACAUAAUAGUCUCCAACUUAACUUCUCGGAAAUCCAUUUCCAACAAAACACCACCGAAGACCCGCGCUCCAGACUACAACCACCACAACCACAUAACUACUUCGAGCACCACGCUCGCAACCUCUAGCCUCCCACACUGCCACGAGCAGAAACUAGGAAAACAGAUGACUAGAGAAAAGAUAAAACAUCACAACUUACCGUGGAAUCUCAUUGAAGGCUCGAGAGGAUGAUCUAGGUCUCCAUGCUCACACAACUGAUUAAACACACAAAUCAAUCAGCAUGCAAUCCACAUCAUCAUUUUCCAUCAACGAAAUUCACACAUCACAUAAAAAAUAACCAAUUUACUCCCGCCCUAGAACCGUAAGGGCUCUGAUACCAAAUUGAAAGAACCCAUCCCAUUUUUUUUUCUUUUAAACAUGCAAACCGGAUUAACCCAAUUAAUUCGAACCAGCUAAACCGGCCAUAAUAAUUUAAAUCAAUUAAACCAAGCAAUCUCAUUAAAGUAAACCAACAAUAUUAUCCAGCGGAAGACUUAACCAAAAAUCCAAUAAUACGAUUCCAUUAAACCAACAAGUUCAACCAAACAUUAUUCCAAAACAUGAUCCUCCUAACAUGUUUCUAAAUUCCAUUCUAACACCCUAAUAAAUCCAACAAUAAUCUAAAACACCAAUGAGUGCCUAGAUCAUCCUCCUCUCCUCGCCAUGAUUCCACGGAUCACACUUUGCUUUUACCUGCAUCAAAGAAAGAGAUGCAUAAGUAUUUCAUAAAUACUUAGUGAGGGCGAUCCUACCAUCUACGAGCUAUACACACAAGCAAUGAGAUAACACCCACAUAUAUAACAAAAACAAACCAUCCAGCAAGCUAAACAUCCAAUAACACAUCCAGUUCACCUACAAAUCAUCACACAACAAGUCACUCAAUCCCAAUCGCUUAGAUAAGCUCAUGGUCACGCACUCACCUUAACAAGGUGAUUUGAGUUACAAAAACAACCAGGAAAUACUCUCUUCGUGACUGCAACAGCCAAACAACGCCCUACAACAAACCACACAAACACAAAUCUCUAAGAACCAAAAGGACAGAAACAUCAAAAAAACUACAGCCGCAGAAACGAAGCCCUAAAACAUAAACUAACCGUUAACUUCUUAAUCCCUACGGUGAAAAGCAAGAUACAGACGUCACGAAGCCCCCUACAAAAUUUGGUGCCGAUCGGAGAAACGAUGAAUCCACGAUCGCACUUACAAACUCCGCUGAUCCCAGUUCGCAACAGAGAAAACGCGUCUCACCAAACUGCAUAUAACUCACUGAGUAUUAAUCCAAAUUCACUUCUGUAAAAAGGAGAAUCAACGUACACGCCUUAAGAACAAACCUACCAAAAUUAAUUACCUUUCGAUAAGAUUUGAUACGUCGUAAAUCUAUUCUACCAGAACGUGACGGAUCUGCUUCUCUUGCCUUAAACACCAAAGCAAAGCUAACACUCUCCUUUUCACAAGUAAACUUCUCCUUUUCAUUUUCUCAACUCAACUCUCAGAAACAACAGCCACAAAACAAGAGAGAGAAGAAGCGUUCUUUAUAAAACUAGGGUUUUUGGUUUAAUUCUGAUUAAACCAGAAUUUACCUAAACCGACUUUAAU
rnacentral:lncRNA from 1 species